rnacentral:rRNA from 1 species
GAUGAACGCUAGCGGCAGGCUUAAUACAUGCAAGGCGAAGGGGCAGCAAUGUCACUGUCGUACGGGUGCGUAACGCGUAUGCAACCUACCUAUCACUGGGGGAUAGCCCGGGGGAAACCCGGAUUAAUACCGCAUAACACAGGGGUCCCGCAUGGGUACUAUUUGUUAAAAGAUUUAUCGGUGGUAGAUGGGCAUGCGUU